ACCUUCCGCCAUGAUUGUGAGGCUUCCCCAGCCAUGUGGAAACAUAUUCGCAGAGCACCCACUAGGUGCCAGUAAAUGUAUGAGAAGUCCUGUGGAAUAAGACUGAAGUUGUCCUUGCCUUCAAGCAACUUGCAAUUGCCUAAGAACACAGUUUAAAACCACAAAACUAAGCCUUGGAAAUCACAUGCUGUCAUUUCUGCGAUCGGUCAUAACCAGUCCUGAUUCCAUGUUAGAGGAGACUACAUAAGGACACAGGUACCAGAAGAUGAAAAAUUUGGAGUCUAGUGAAAAGAAGUGACUUGCUCAAAAUCACACAGCACAUGAAGAACAGAGCCUCUAUGAUGAAUUUCUUGACAGCUGAUAUAAGUCUUUUGAGGUACAGCCUGGCACAAAAAGGAUGAGAUUUGUGGGCAGAAUUUUGGAAGAAUAUCUCCCGAGAGAACAUUCAGGACAGAGCCCUACAUCUCCCCGAGAAGAGGUGAAAGAGACUGCUCCUAUCUGCUUCUGCAUCAAACUUCAGGCUCAAGACCUGUCCAGAAAAAAAAAUGUCUUCUUUCAGGGAUGAACUGCUGUCCUCAUCAGACGCCUUAUUUUGUUUAGAAUUCAAGCUCACUUGACAGGUUAUUGUGAAGAUUAAAUGAAUUAAUACAUGUGAAGCAACUGUAACAACUCUUGACAUGCGGAUCCCAUUGAGGAUGCCACAUUAUGUUUCAUUGCCAUGUCUCCAUAGACUCUUCUUGGUUGUGAUGGUUUCUCACGCUUUUCUUGGUUUUGAAGACGUUGACAAUUUUCUUCCAUUGGGAUUUGCUUGAUGCUUUUCUCAUGAUUACACUGGAACUGUGACUUUUUAGAAGGAAGAUCAUAGAGGUAAAGUGUCAUUUUUAUUGCAUAUAAAGCUUAUUAUUAACAUAACUUCUUACCACCGUUGAAGAUUUUCAGGUUCCCUUACUGUAAUUCUUUUGUUUUUUCAAAUUGUAAUCUUUGGAAGGAAAAGUCACUGCGUACAGUCUACACUUAAGGAGUGGAAGUCAUGUUCCAUCUCCUUUAAAGUGGAAUCUCUACAUAAUUCACUUGUUAUUCUUCUUCAUUGGAGACGUGUCUCUUUUUCCUCAUUUAUUAAUUUAUUUAAUAAUUUAUUUAUAAUAUGAAUACAUUGUUAUUUAUUUUAUACUUUUGCAUAUAAUCCAAUACCAUUUUAAUUUGUUGCUCAAAUUGUUUCAGAUUUGGCCAUUGGCAACUCUUUCAAAUGGCUACUGUGCACAUAUGACAUAUCACCAUCCAGUUUUUAAAACCUUUUUUACUUUCUACCAUUAACAUGAUGCUCCAAGCUUAUCUUGUACAUUUCCUGCUGCAGUCCAAGAAUCAGCUGUUUAUCAAAAACCUCUGGUUUAUUUUAUUGGAGAACAGUAUUAGAAAGUAAUAUCUAGGUGCUAGAUGUGGUCAUUGCUGCUGAGGUGUAAUUUCUAUUUUGCUCCUUUUAGCUGACAGAGCAAGGAAACUGUCAAACUAAUUCUAAAAUGGUUGCACUAUUUUACAUUCCUAUCGCCAAUGACUAAGAGUUUCUGUUGUGCUGCAUCCUCAAAUAUCAGCAUUUGAUGUCAGAUGUUUGGAUUUUAGCCAUUUUAAUAGGUUUGUGCUAUCUCAUUGUUGUACUAAUUUGCAAUUUUAAAAUACAAAAGGUUUUAAACAUUUUUUUAAUAUCCUUAUCUGUACAUCUCCUUUGGUGAAGUGUCUGUUCAGAUAUUUUGCCUGUUUUUAAAUUGGGUUGUUUGUUUUAUUAUUGUGGAAAAUUCACCGUUCUUUGUAUAUUUUGAAAAUAAGGCCCCUAUCAAAUAUGCAUUUUACCAUAAUUUUAUCCCAGUCUAUGGCUUGUCUUUUCAUUCUCUUUACAUUGAUAUUUACAGAGAAGAAUGUUUAAAUUUUUAAUAAUAAAGUUCAACUUAUCAAUUUUUUC
ensembl:lncRNA novel transcript